GUGGGGUAAUGCCCCCCCAAGCCGACGAUCCAUAGCUGGUUUGAGAGGAUGAUCAGCCACACUGGGACUGAGACACGGCCCAGACUCCUACGGGAGGCAGCAGUGGGGAAUAUUGCACAAUGGGCGCAAGCCUGAUGCAGCGACGCCGCGUGGGGGAUGACGGCCUUCGGGUUGUAAACUCCUUUCGCUAGGGACGAAGCUUUUUGUGACGGUACCUAGAUAAGAAGCACCGGCUAACUACGUGCCAGCAGCCGCGGUAAUACGUAGGGUGCGAGCGUUGUCCGGAAUUACUGGGCGUAAAGAGCUCGUAGGUGGUUUGUCGCGUCGUUUGUGUAAGCCCGCAGCUUAACUGCGGGACUGCAGGCGAUACGGGCAUAACUUGAGUACUGUAGGGGUAACUGGAAUUCCUGGUGUAGCGGUGAAAUGCGCAGAUAUCAGGAGGAACACCGGUGGCGAAGGCGGGUCUCUGGGCCGAUACUGACGCUGAGGAGCGAAAGC
rnacentral:rRNA from 1 species